AGCGAACGCUGGCGGCAGGCCUAACACAUGCAAGUCGAACGAAGCCUUCGGGCUUAGUGGCGGACGGGUGAGUAACACGUGGGAACGUACCUUUUGGUUCGGAAUAACGCAGAGAAAUUUGCGCUAAUACCGAGUGAGCCCUAAGGGGGAAAGAUUUAUCGCCGAAAGAGCGGCCCGCGUUGGAUUAGGUAGUUGGUGUGGUAAAGGCGCACCAAGCCUACGAUCCAUAGCUGGUCUGAGAGGAUGAUCAGCCACACUGGGACUAAGACACGGCCCAGACUCCUACGGGAGGCAGCAGUGGGGAAUCUUGCGCAAUGGGCGAAAGCCUGACGCAGCCAUGCCGCGUGAAUGAUGAAGGUCUUAGGAUUGUAAAAUUCUUUUACCAGGGACGAUAAUGACGGUACCUGGAGAAAAAGCCCCGGCUAACUUCGUGCCAGCAGCCGCCGUAAUAC
rnacentral:rRNA from 1 species